rnacentral:lncRNA from 1 species
AACUUCCCCAAGAAAGAAGAAAUGCUACUCUCAGGCUUCACCUCUAAAAGUUGCAUACUGCAACUUUUCCCUCAGUCUCCAGCCCACAAACCCGCUACAUUAGACUUUAGACCCACAAGUCCUCUAUAAUUGUGUGAGUCAUUUUCUUAAAGUAAAUCUGUUUCUCUCUCUCUUUUUGUUCUCUCUCUCUGUCUCUCCACAUACGUAUACACAUCCUGUAGCUCCUGGUGCUCUGGGGACGCCUAAUACAGCCCAUAAAUAUGUGUAUAUAUAUUUUAAA